GAAUUGACUGGGAAUGGUUUAAUUGAAAAUGUAAAAAUGGUCUACCCUACGUUACCAGGCUUUAUUUAAAAAGGUUAUUAUAAUAUGGUCUUCAAUGCUACAGUGCGAUACUGGCAUGUUGCACCCUUGGAUGCGGGUGCAAUAAUAGAACAGAACAGAAAAAGAGAAAUUUAGUGGCCAAAAACUUUGUUACAGAAAAUUGGGGUAAAGCUAUAUUACAUGAGAACAUUAAGGCAAGUGAAGUGUCUUUAUACAGAACAAAUGGAACUAAUUUGUCACAAACUGGAAAUCAGGUUUUCUUGAAUAAUAUACAAGGGUGUGGGGGUUGAGUCUUUCCUACGCACACCAUAAUCAACUUUUCCUAAGAUUCAAUAAUGAAAAUUUUGUGGAGGUGAGAACCCAUGUCAGAUUUGGUAGCUGACUUGGGCUCUCAUGUGGCGGUCCAGGGAGACUGGUAGUGAUUGGGGGAUUAUUUUCACUCGGCCCUUGCUCUGGGCCUGACAAGUUCUAAAACUUGCAGGUUUGGAAAAUGUGGUUAGUGGUAACGGUGGGGUCUACAGAUGGGUGACUCUGGGACCUCCUCCACCUCAUCUUAUAGAGGGGAGGCCUACACCUGCCAACAGGUGGGGCACUAAUAACUGGAGCAUUGGUAAUACGAGUGUUUUCCCCGGUCACUCCC
rnacentral:lncRNA from 1 species